ACUAGUGUUUAUCGUUUUGUUUCGCUAGUGUGUAAUGAAUGUUCUUGGUGUGUAUAAAGUUUGGUUAAGAGUUUUGGUAAAUUCCAGUUAUUUUACCAGAAGUUAUCAAAAUGGCUUUACUAUCAGCGAAGCAGUUGUUAGAUGAACUUAUGGGAAGAGACAGGGAUUUAGGUUUAGAAGAGAAAAAGAAUGAUUUUACAUGGGAUGGACCUGAUAUAUGUAAGCAUUUCCUGGUAAAAUUCUGUCCAAAUGACCUAUUUGUUAACACAAAAGCUGAUUUAGGAGUGUGUCCUAAAAUCCAUGAUGAAAGACUUAAAAAAGAAUAUGAGAAAAGUUCCAGAUUCCAACAAAUGGGCUACGAAGAAGAUUUUUUACGUUUCUGCCAAAGCAUGUUAUCUGAUGUGGACAAGCGUAUAAGACGAGCUCGACAAAGAUUAGCACUUAGCAGCAAAGAAGCAAAUGUGUCCCAACCUACGCAAGUUAAGAAUAAUGAUGAAAAAGUGAAUGUGUUAACAGAAAGAAUUAAUGGUCUUUUAGUUCAAGUUGAAAAUUUGGGAUGUGAAGGUAAAGUUGAAGAAGCUCAGGGAAUAAUGAAACUUUGUGAACAACUUAAAGAAGAACGUGAAGCACUAAGAAAAGCUUCAGAAGCAAAUCAUUGGUUUCAGACUGCCGAAAUAGCUGCAGCUCAAGAAAAACAAAUGGAAGUUUGUGAGGUUUGUGGAGCAUUUCUGAUUGUUGGAGAUGCUCAGCAAAGAGUAGAUGAUCAUUUAAUGGGCAAACAACAUGUUGGCUAUGCAAGAUUGAAAGAAGCAGUGGAAGAAAUACUGAAUAGUAGAGAAAAGGAAAGAAGUGAUCGAGAAAAACUAAGAGAUAAAGAAAGAGAAGAAAGACGCAGACUAAAAGAAGAAGAAGAUCGUAAGAGGGAAGAAAGAAGGAAAAGGAUUGAAGAUGAACGUCGACGAGAAAUUGAAAAACAAAGAGACAGAUCUAGGAGAAGAAGUCGUAGCAAAGACAGAACUUCAAGUCGAAGCCAUUCUCACCGAAGCCGAAGUAAAGACAGAAAUUCUCAUAGUAAGAGUAAAGAUAAAGAAAAAUCUCGAAGAAGAAGUGGAAGUUCAGAACGAAAAAGAGCACGAUCCCGUUCUCGUGAUAAUGGUCAUCAUUCUCGAAGAUCUCGAUCUCGAUCCAGUGAACACAGGAAAGAUCGUGAUCGCCGAGAUCGAAGAGAAAAAGACAAAAACAAAGAUCAUAGGCGUUCAUCAUAUGAAAAUGGAGAAUCAUCAGAAAAGACAUCAAGGUCAGAGGAUGGAAAUAAAGGACACCAUUCCUCAGGUGACUGAGCUCUGAUCUAAUGUGUAGUUUUCACAGGAAUAGCUGCCAGAUGAUAGUUGUUGGCCUUGGCGAGUAAACAGAAGUUACCUGUGAAGAUAUCCUGUUGGCAUCUAUAAUAGAGUAUGCUUGGAUGUUUCCUGUUCUACUGAAGAUUGGACCAUAUAUGCAGGUGAAAAAUUAAUCAUCUCUUGUGAAAUGUAUGAUAACAGCUGUCAGUGCAGUAGUUCAUAAAGUAAAUGAUCAUGUAACCAUUUUUCAGUUAUUUAUGUAAAAUGACUGUUCACAUUUCAAAAUAUUUGUUUACAAUAAAAAUGUCCAUCUGUGGUUA